CUUAACCUAAGGCACCAAAAAUUUGUUUUACGAGGAAGUAUAAUUAUUUUUAUUAUAUUCCUUUGAGAAAGCUAAAAAGUGUAUUAUGAUACCUCUACGUAAGUUCGAUGAUUACUUUUGAUAUCUUAGAGACGUCGAUCAGUAGGUAUAUUCAUUGAAAAUGGAUUUCCUCAAGAGUGGAUGUAAGGAAAAAUCAUAUUUCCAAGAAAUGAACCUCCUUAAGUCUUUAGGACAGAGACUUUUAAAUGACACUGUAAUAUAUAUCCUCGGUUUAAUUGAACAAAAUCUAGAAUAUCAAUAUGAGAGAAACAACAGCAAAAGUGUUUUAAAUCAACUCUUGUGUAUAUUAAGAUUCUACACUUCAGGGGCUAUGUCCAGUCUACAGCUUUUUUUAUGGGCAUGUAUGUUUGUUUCUACCACUUCUCGUAUUAUGUUACAAAAGUAUCCCAUGAACUUCCACUGCUUUACCCUCAGUUCAUAAAAAUGCCUGAAUAAGAAACUCUAGUUUUAGAGCAGGAACAAUUUUAUAGUAUAUUUGGGUUUCCUUGGAUUAUAGGGAUAGUUGAUGGAACACAAUGUAAGAAAACAUUCACCUGGGGGUAAUGAUGGAGAGGUAUUUAGAAAUAGAAAAGCAUUAUUUUCCCCAACAUUUAAAUUACUGGAAAUGCUAGUCUUAAAACCAUAGACAAUAGACAUGAUUGCUUGUUGGCAUGGGUCUGUGCAUGAAGCCACCAUUUUUUGGAUAUUAAGGACGUAUUAAGGACCCGCUUGGAGACUGGUGACUUUUCAAAUUAAAUCCUGCUUGGUGAUAGUGCAUAUGCAUUGAGGGGAUAUAUGCAGAAAGAGAGCUGAAGAACUGUAUUACUGAAGAAAUGUUUCAGAAUUAUCGGAAUAUGGAAACGCCACUUUCCAAUAUGUUUUAUGGUAUAAGACCAAAAUUGCAAACCACAAUGUCAGUUAUUGUUGCACAACAAUUUUGUUGUUUCAAUGUGCUACACAAUACAGCCAGAAUGAUACCUGAACAAGAGCUGCCGCCGUUAGAUGAAAUAAAUAUGGACCAAAUUAAUAAGAAGAGAAAUAAUAAAUUAUUUUGAAAGA